rnacentral:rRNA from 1 species
AUUGAACGCUGGCGGCAGGCCUAACACAUGCAAGUCGACCGAGUGGCGGACGGGUGAGUAAUAUCUGGGAAACUGCCCGAUGGAGGGGGAUAAAUACUGGAAAAGGUAGUAAAUACCGAAUACCAUCGUAUGUGCCCGUAUGGGAUUAGCUAGUAGUUUGGGUAAUGGCUCACCUAGGCGACGAUCCCUAGCUGGUCUGAGAGGAUGACAAGCCACACUGGAACUGAGACACGGUCCAGACUCCGACGGGAGGCAGCAGUGGGGAAUAUUGCACAAUGGGCGCAAGCCUGAUGCAGCCAUGCCGCGUGUAUGAAGAAGGCCUUCGGGUUGUAAAGUACUUUCAGCGAGGAGGCGUUACUCGCAGAAGAAGCACCGGCUAACUCCGUGCCAGCAGCCGCGGUAAUAC